rnacentral:rRNA from 1 species
UUGAACGCUGGCGGCAUGCUUUACACAUGCAAGUCGAACGGCAGCGGGGGCUUCGGCCUGCCGGCGAGUGGCGAACGGGUGAGUAAUGCAUCGGAACGUACCCAGUCGUGGGGGAUAACUACGCGAAAGCGUAGCUAAUACCGCAUACGCCCUGAGGGGGAAAGCGGGGGACCUUCGGGCCUCGCGCGAUUGGAGCGGCCGAUAUCGGAUUAGCUAGUUGGUGGGGUAAAGGCUCACCAAGGCGACGAUCCGUAGCGGGUCUGAGAGGACGACCCGCCACACUGGAACUGAGACACGGUCCAGACUCCUACGGGAGGCAGCAGUGGGGAAUUUUGGACAAUGGGGGCAACCCUGAUCCAGCCAUUCCGCGUGAGUGAAGAAGGCCUUCGGGUUGUAAAGCUCUUUCAGCAGGAGCGAAACGGUCGUUUUUAAUACAGACGGCUAAUGACGGUACCUGCAGAAGAAGCACCGGCUAACUACGU